rnacentral:rRNA from 1 species
AGUUUGAUUCUGGCUCAGGAUGAACGCUGGCGGCGUGCCUAAUACAUGCAAGUCGAACGAGGUAGCAAUACCGAGUGGCGAACGGGUGAGUAACACGUAGGUAACCUGCCCUUGAGCUUGGGAUACCCAGAGGAAACUUUGGCUAAUACCGGAUAACAACAGAGAAGGCAUCUUCUUUGCUUGAAAGGCCCCUUCAAGGGUCACUUAAGGAUGGACCUGCGGCGCAUUAGCUAGUUGGUGAGAUAACAGCCCACCAAGGCGAGGAUGCGUAGCCGAACUGAGAGGUUGAUCGGCCACAUUGGAACUGAGACACGGUCCAAACUCCUACGGGAGGCAGCAGUAAGGAGUUUUCGGCAAUGGGGGAAACCCUGACCGAGCAACGCCGCGUGAGCGAUGACGGUCCUUUGGAUUGUAAAAAGCUCUGUUGUAAGCCAUGAAUGACAGCUUGAGGAAAUGCAAGUUGUUUGACGACAGCUUACCAGAAAGCCACGGCUAACUACGUGCCAGCAGCAGC